CAGUAGCCACGGUAAUACGGAGGGUGCAAGCGUUAUCCGGAUUUAUUGGGUUUAAAGGGUCCGUAGGCGGACUUAUAAGUCAGUGGUGAAAGCCUGUCGCUUAACGAUAGAACUGCCAUUGAUACUGUAAGUCUUGAGUAUAUUUGAGGUAGCUGGAAUAAGUAGUGUAGCGGUGAAAUGCAUAGAUAUUACUUAGAACACCAAUUGCGAAGGCAGGUUACCAAGAUAUAACUGACGCUGAGGGACGAAAGCGUGGGUAGCGAACAGGAUUAGAUACCCCAGUAGUCCCUGUCUCUUAUAA
rnacentral:rRNA from 1 species